rnacentral:rRNA from 1 species
UACGUAGGGUGCGAGCGUUGUCCGGAUUCAUUGGGCGUAAAGAGCUCGUAGGCGGCUUGUCGCGUCGACUGUGAAAACCCGAGGCUCAACUUCGGGCUUGCAGUCGAUACGGGCAGGCUUGAGUUCGGUAGGGGAGACUGGAAUUCCUGGUGUAGCGGUGAAAUGCGCAGAUAUCAGUAGGAACACCAAUUGCGAAGGCAGCUCGCUGGGACGUUACUGACGCUGAGACGCGAAAGCGUGGGGAGCAAACAGG